rnacentral:rRNA from 1 species
UACGUAUGGUGCAAGCGUUGUUCGGAAUUAUUGGGCGUAAAGGGUAUGUAGGCGGAUUUAUAAGUCAGGUGUGAAAACUGCGGGCUCAACCCGUAGCUUGCACUUGAUACUGUGAGUCUAGAGUUUGGGAGAGGGAAGCGGAAUUCCUGGUGUAGCGGUGAAAUGCGUAGAUAUCAGGAGGAACACCGGUGGCGAAAGCGGCUUCCUGGCCUAAAACUGACGCUGAGAUACGAAAGUGUGGGGAGCGAACGGG